ensembl:snoRNA small nucleolar RNA SNORA5
UGUAGCCAUGUCAUAUCUGGAGUCUGCCUCUCAUGGCUGGCACCAGCCCAGGAGGUUGCCACAGAAAUGUUGUGACUCACGGGCCUUGCUCCCUUUGCCUGGGCACACAGAUAAGUUUGGUCACAAACAGAA